UACAUUGUUUUUUUUUAGGUGAAACAGUUAUCAUUAAUUGGCGACUGCCAACAGACACUAUUUUGUCAGAAUACAGCAUGAAUUGUCUAAAGAAGAAAAAAAAUUUUAAAGAGUUGACACUUCUAUGUAACCCUGUCACUGAAGCUGCUUUUAAGUCAAAUAAAAACUUAACCAAAAUGAAUGCCAUCCAACUUAUUGGAGAGUAAGUAGGCAUUCUUCUGACCGAAUAAAGAGAACAUCCACUAAUAUGGAUUUCGAUCAAUGAUGGCUUAAUUAACUGUUGUAUUUAUUUAUUUAUUUU